rnacentral:rRNA from 1 species
GAUCCGGUGGUUCCGCAUGGAAGGGCCAUCGCUCAACGGAUAAAAGCUACCCCGGGGAUAACAGGCUUAUCUCCCCCAAGAGUUCACAUCGACGGGGAGGUUUGGCACCUCGAUGUCGGCUCAUCGCAUCCUGGGGCUGUAGUCGGUCCCAAGGGUUGGGCUGUUCGCCCAUUAAAGCGGUACGCGAGCUGGGUUCAGAACGUCGUGAGACAGUUCGGUCCCUAUCCGUCGUGGGCGUAGGAAAUUUGAGAGGAGCUGUCCUUAGUACGAGAGGACCGGGAUGGACAUACCUCUGGUGUACCAGUUGUCGUGCCAACGGCAUAGCUGGGUAGCUAUGUGUGGACGGGAUAAGUGCUGAAAGCAUCUAAGCAUGAAGCCCCCCUCAAGAUGAGAUUUCCCAACUUCGGUUAUAAGAUCCCUCAAAGAUGAUGAGGUUAAUAGGUUCGAGGUGGAAGCAUGGUGACAUGUGGAGCUGACGAAUACUAAUCGAUCGAAGACUUAAUCAAAA